AAAACACUUGGAACCCUGUGUCACAAGAGUGCUUCCUACAGAAAAGUGCCAAACCCUUGAACUAGAGCUAUACUGAAGCUCUCAGAGACUCCAGACUCAAUGCUGUGGAGCCAGGAGACUGGACAGCAGGACGACACCAGCCUCAAAACCAGCACAGCACUUGUACCUCAGCAAUGCACAAUGCAGCCCUGAGAACCUCAGCUAACUGUGCUGUCAGAGCUUUCAGAUUUCAUGCUCCAAACCUGGCAGCCCUGGCUGUCUGGGGGUGCUUAUAACCCAGGCUGCACAGAAACUGAAAUUCACUGGGAAAAUUCUUCUUGACUGGAGUAACUUUUUGAGUUGUGUUUAAAAACUUAAGUCAUGUCUAUAUGUCAUGUGUCUGUAGCAUAGUCUAAGUAUACUAGAGCUAGGUCUAAACUACAUAGCUCAGGAAUUGCUAACAGUACAGCUAUGGAACCACUGGCUGACCCUCCAGUAACUAGCAUCUUCCUAGAUGAGCUUUACAGCCUGGUGCAAAACCAUGAAAUACUAACAGGUAUUUGACCAGCAAACUGAUAAGAAAACCACAAAAUGCUUCAUCUUGACUGGAACUGUAUCUCUCGCUAAUUAACUCAGGAUGGCUAAACCAAGAAUACACCACACUUCCCAGGGAAGAUGAAACCUUGAUGUGUAAAGGAAGAUGAACAAAAUUGUCCUGAUAUUGGCCUCACAGGAGAAAGAUGCAUGUGUCUUUUCAGACAGUCUGUCUACCAAUACCAUCCUGUGAGGGCGACUGCCAGGUGAACCACAGUUAGCUCUGCUGGGAGAGGCCAAGCCAGAGGAGAAUCCCAUUUGCUUUCAUGAAGGGCCAGCAGCAUGCACUGAGAGCCUGCUGUGGCUGAGGGGCUUGGUAAGGGUCUGUACCUAUUUACACUCUUCCUGAGCCAUUAUCUUACAGGUAA